rnacentral:lncRNA from 1 species
GCUCCUUGCUCAGCUUCCCCAUCCGCAGCACCCGCGACACCACCUUGACGUCGAUCAGCGCGAACAGCAGCUGGACCUCCUCCAUCGUGCCCGGCCAGGUCUUGCUCUUCCACCCUUUCUUCUUCUUGAACAGCUCCUUCACCUUCGCCUCCUUCUGCAGGUUUGGAUGUUGACAACUUUCCAUUAGCAAAUAUUCAAGAAACAGUACCGCACAAAGGCCUUAGGCCUCUUUGGUAAUGUCCACAAGUCACAACUUUGUGGCCUGAACGACAUCAGAUUCUAGGAAAGAUA